rnacentral:rRNA from 1 species
GAUAAAAGCUACCCCGGGGAUAACAGGCUUAUCUCCCCCAAGAGUUCACAUCGACGGGGAGGUUUGGCACCUCGAUGUCGGCUCAUCGCAUCCUGGGGCUGUAGUCGGUCCCAAGGGUUGGGCUGUUCGCCCAUUAAAGCGGUACGCGAGCUGGGUUCAGAACGUCGUGAGACAGUUCGGUCCCUAUCCGUCGUGGGCGUAGGAAAUUUGAGAGGAGCUGUCCUUAGUACGAGAGGACCGGGAUGGACAUACCUCUGGUGUACCAGUUGUCGUGCCAACGGCAUAGCUGGGUAGCUAUGUGUGGACGGGAUAAGUGCUGAAAGCAUCUAAGCAUGAAGCCCCCCUCAAGAUGAGAUUUCCCAACUUCGGUUAUAAGAUCCCUCAAAGAUGAUGAGGUUAAUAGGUUCGAGGUGGAAGCAUGGUGACAUGUGGAGCUGACGAAUACUAAUCGAUCGAAGACUUAAUCAA